rnacentral:rRNA from 1 species
CUUACUGAAAUUAUAAUAAGUAACACCUGCUCAAUGACCUAUUUUAAAUAGCCGCGGAAAUUUAACCGUGCUAAGGUAGCAUAAUCAUUAGCCUCUUAAUUAGAGGCUCGUAUGAACGGUGAAACAUUUCAAUUACUUUUUUAAUAAAUUUAUUUAAAUUUAAAUUAAGAAUAAAAAUGUUCUUAUUUAUUAAAUAGACGAUAAGACCCUUUUGAACUUUACUUUAGUUUAGCUGGGGCAGCUAAAUAAUAAUCAUCUUAUUAAAAUUUAUUUAAAUAAAUGACCCAAUAUAAUUGAUUUUAUGAACAAGUUACCAUAGGGAUAACAGCGUAAUAUCUUUUUAAAGCUCUUAUUAAAAAAGGAGAUUGCGACCUCGAUGUUGAAUUAAUGUAACUUUACUGAUGCAGUAAUUUUAAAAGUAGGUCUGUUCGACCUUUAAAACAUUACA